rnacentral:rRNA from 1 species
UAGCUAGUUGGUGAGGUAACGGCCCACCAAGGCGACGAUUGGUAGCCGGACUGAGAGGUUGAACGGCCACAUUGGGACUGAGACACGGCCCAGACUCCUACGGGAGGCAGCAGUGGGGGAUAUUGCACAAUGGGGGAAACCCUGAUGCAGCGACGCCGCGUGGAGGAAGAAGGUUUUCGGAUUGUAAACUCCUGUCGUUAGGGACGAUAAUGACGGUACCUAACAAGAAAGCACCGGCUAACUACGUGCCAGCAGCCGCGGUAAAACGUAGGGUGCAAGCGUUGUCCGGAAUUACUGGGUGUAAAGGGAGCGCAGGCGGGAAGACAAGUUGGAAGUGAAAACCAUGGGCUCAACCCAUGAAUUGCUUUCAAAACUGUUUUUCUUGAGUAGUGCAGAGGUAGAUGGAAUUCCCGGUGUAGCGGUGGAAUGCGUAGAUAUCGGGAGGAACACCAGUGGCGAAGGCGGUCUACUGGGCACCAACUGACGCUGAGGCUCGAAAGCAUGGGUAGCAAACAGGAUUAGAUACCCUGGUAGUCCAUGCCGUAAACGGUGAUUACUAGGUGUUGGGGGAUUGACCCCCUCAGUGCCGCAGUUAACACAAUAAGUAAUCCACCUGGGGAGUACGACCGCAAGGUUGAAACUCAAAGGAAUUGACGGGGGCCCGCACAAGCAGUGGAGUAUGUGGUUUAAUUCGAAGCAACGCGAAGAACCUUACCAGGUCUUGACAUCCGAUGCAUAGCACAGAGAUGUGUGAAAUCCUUCGGGACAUCGAGACAGGUGGUGCAUGGUUGUCGUCAGCUCGUGUCGUGAGAUGUUGGGUUAAGUCCCGCAACGAGCGCAACCCUUAUUGCCAGUUACUACGUUAAGAGGACUCUGGCGAGACUGCCGUUGACAAAACGGAGGAAGGUGGGGAUGACGUCAAAUCAUCAUGCCCUUUAUGACCUGGGCUACACACGUACUACAAUGGCGUUAAACAAAGAGAAGCAAGACCGCGAGGUGGAGCAAAACUCAAAAACAACGUCUCAGUUCAGAUUGCAGGCUGCAACUCGCCUGCAUGAAGUCGGAAUUGCUAGUAGUCGCGGAUCAGCAUGCCGCGGUGAAUACGUUCCCGGGCCUUGUACACACCGCCCGUCACACCAUGAGAGCCGGGGGGACCCGAAGUCGAUAGUCUAACCGCAAGGAGGACGUCGCCGAAGGUAAAACUGGUGAUUGGGGUGAAGUCGUAACAAGGUAGCCGUA